UUUCUCACAUAUUUCAUCAACUCCUCCUUUUUCAAAACCAGGGACCCAUGUUUCUAAAUUGUUUUUCUGAUAGUUCUCUUUCUUUCUCCUUUUUGGAGGUUUUGACGUCCCGGAACACCAACCCAACCCACUCCACUCCACAAACAAAAGCCAGUUUUGAUGUCCUGGAACACCAACCCAACCCACUGCACAAACAAAAGCCAGUUCAUGGCUCUCUCUCUCACAUAUUUCAUCAACUCUUCAAGUUUCUUUUUCAAAACCAAGGGACCCAUGUUUCUGAAUUGUUUUUCUGAUAGUUCUCUUUCUUUCUCCUUUUUGCAGGUUUUGAUGUCCUGGAACACCGACCCAACGCACUCCACACACAAAAGCCAGUUCAUGACUCUCUCUCUCUCACACAUAUUUCAUCGACUCUUUAAGUUUCUUUUUCAAAACCAGGGACCUAUGUUUCUGAAUUAUUUUUCUGAUAGUUCUCUUUCCUUCUCCUUUUUGCAGGUUUUGAUUUGCAGGUUUUGAUGUCCUGGCUUUCUACAGAAACAGCCUUGCAAAAUUGGAGAAUUUUUUUGGUUGUCUGAAUAACAUGGUAUAAGAAACUUGUCCGUGAGCUACAUAAACAGAGGACGAUCUGAAAUCUGAAAUUCAGUUUCUAUUUGGAAAACAUGGAACCUUCAUUAGUAAUCGUAAGUGCAUUUCUUCAGCUAAAUAUCAACAGAAUAUGAGAAAAUUCUGGUCGUGGCUUGAUUUGAUAUAAAUGUUUCACCUGAAAUUUUUGCCUCAAAAUCAGCCAUUUCAACAGCAAAUAUGCUUGUAACGAGUCUGACCAUCAAACACAUUCGACUUGACGGAAAUUUGAAUUUUUGAUUAGACAUGAUGGAGUACAAUCAUCGACCAUUGUAUUAUCAAUAUUUAUCUGAAGGAUACAGUUUCUAUGAAUAGAAGAGAAGUCUAGAAAACACUUUGGGCAUGGGAAAUCUCUAUGAUGGCUCUAAAAUCAAUUUCCUCCACCAGUUAUCAAAUUUGUAGCUCAAAAAAUGAUCCCAAACUUGUGGAUCCGAGAAGCCUUGAAAAUGGACAGUCUAAAUAGUAUUACAAU